GUCCUCGUAGCUCAGUUGGAUAGAGCGGCAGCCUCCUAAGCUGUAGGCCGUGUGUUCGACUCACACCGGGGACACCA
rnacentral:tRNA from 1 species